rnacentral:lncRNA from 12 species
AGUUAGAGCACCUUGGGUUUGGCUGUGUUGGGGCACCAUGGGAUGGGUGUGUUCUGGCAUCCUGGGUGUCUUGGGCCACCCUGGGGCUGGUUGUCUUGGGACAUGCCCCAGUUGGGUGUUUUGGGUCACCCAUUUGGGACUAGCCUUGGCUCAUCCUGGCCCUUGCCCCUCUCACACCUGUCACCCUGCAGGGAUGUGGCUCUCAGUGUUGCUGCCUUGUCCUUCAACCUGUGGUUCACCAAGCUGUCCUGCAAGGAUUUCAGGCUGAAUCAGGAGAUUUCAGAGCAGUUGCUCUACAUGCUCAGCAAAUCAGUGACGCUGGAGGAGCUGGUGCUGGAGAACAGUGGCUUGAAAGCGUAAGUGAAGGUGCUGCAAGGCAGUGCUGAGCAGGAUCUGGGCAGCCUGGUGGUUCUUCCCCCAGUGCAUGGAGCAGGGAGGUCCAUGCAUGGGCUCCUAUGCCCCUCCACACUGGGAGCAGACUGCCAUAGCCUGGAAGGCCAGUGGAUAGCACCCACCCCUGGAGAUGUUCUGCUUCCUUCGGGCUGCAGACGGAGCCAGCCUGGCACACAGGCAGGAGCUGGUGGCACGUCCCUGUAAGACUGCAGGGUUGGUGGCUGUGUUUCCUGGGGGUGUCCAAGCAUUGCUCAGAUGGGUGACCCUUCUCCCCACAGUGACUUUGUGCAGAGGAUGGCCCAGGCACUCAGCAGCCAUCCCAACUCUGCCCUGCACACCAUCAACCUCGCUGGCAACCAGCUGGAAGACAGAGGUAGACAAAUUCUGGGCUGGGAUGAGUU